CAGCAGCCGCGGUAAUACGAGGGGAGCUAGCGUUAUUCGGAAUUACCGGGCGUAAAGCGCACGUAGGCGGCUUUGUAAGUUAGAGGUGAAAGCCCAGAGCUCAACUCUGGAAUUGCCUUUAAGACUGCAUCGCUUGAAUCCAGGAGAGGUGAGUGGAAUUCCGAGUGUAGAGGUGAAAUUCGUAGAUAUUCGGAAGAACACCAGUGGCGAAGGCGGCUCACUGGACUGGUAUUGACGCUGAGGUGCGAAAGCGUGGGGAGCAAACAGGAUUAGAUACCCCGGUAGUCCCUGUCUCUUAUAC
rnacentral:rRNA from 1 species